UUGAACGCUGGCGGCAGGCCUAACACAUGCAAGUCGAACGGUAACAGGAAGAAGCUUGCUUCUUUGCUGACGAGUGGCGGACGGGUGAGUAAUGUCUGGGAAACUGCCUGAUGGAGGGGGAUAACUACUGGAAACGGUAGCUAAUACCGCAUAACGUCGCAAGACCAGAGAGGGGGACCUUCGGGCCUCUUGCCAUCGGAUGUGCCCAGAUGGGAUUAGCUAGUAGGUGGGGUAACGGCUCACCUAGGCGACGAUCCCUAGCUGGUCUGAGAGGAUGACCAGCCACACUGGAACUGAGACACGGUCCAGACUCCUACGGGAGGCAGCAGUGGGGAAUAUUGCACAAUGGGCGCAAGCCUGAUGCAGCCAUGCCGCGUGUAUGAAGAAGGCCUUCGGGUUGUAAAGUACUUUCAGCGGGGAGGAAGGGAGUAAAGUUAAUACCUUUGCUCAUUGACGUUACCCGCAGAAGAAGCACCGGCUAACUCCGUGCCAGCAGCCGCGGUAAUACGGAGGGUGCAAGCGUUAAUCGGAAUUACUGGGCGUAAAGCGCACGCAGGCGGUUUGUUAAGUCAGAUGUGAAAUCCCCGGGCUCAACCUGGGAACUGCAUCUGAUACUGGCAAGCUUGAGUCUCGUAGAGGGGGGUAGAAUUCCAGGUGUAGCGGUGAAAUGCGUAGAGAUCUGGAGGAAUACCGGUGGCGAAGGCGGCCCCCUGGACGAAGACUGACGCUCAGGUGCGAAAGCGUGGGGAGCAAACAGGAUUAGAUACCCUGGUAGUCCACGCCGUAAACGAUGUCGACUUGGAGGUUGUGCCCUUGAGGCGUGGCUUCCGGAGCUAACGCGUUAAGUCGACCGCCUGGGGAGUACGGCCGCAAGGUUAAAACUCAAAUGAAUUGACGGGGGCCCGCACAAGCGGUGGAGCAUGUGGUUUAAUUCGAUGCAACGCGAAGAACCUUACCUGGUCUUGACAUCCACGGAAGUUUUCAGAGAUGAGAAUGUGCCUUCGGGAACCGUGAGACAGGUGCUGCAUGGCUGUCGUCAGCUCGUGUUGUGAAAUGUUGGGUUAAGUCCCGCAACGAGCGCAACCCUUAUCCUUUGUUGCCAGCGGUCCGGCCGGGAACUCAAAGGAGACUGCCAGUGAUAAACUGGAGGAAGGUGAGGAUGACGUCAAGUCAUCAUGGCCCUUACGACCAGGGCUACACACGUGCUACAAUGGCGCAUACAAAGAGAAGCGACCUCGCGAGAGCAAGCGGACCUCAUAAAGUGCGUCGUAGUCCGGAUUGGAGUCUGCAACUCGACUCCAUGAAGUCGGAAUCGCUAGUAAUCGUGGAUCAGAAUGCCACGGUGAAUACGUUCCCGGGCCUUGUACACACCGCCCGUCACACCAUGGGAGUGGGUUGCAAAAGAAGUAGGUAGCUUAACCUUCGGGAGGGCGCUUACCACUUUGUGAUUCAUGACUGGGGUG
rnacentral:rRNA from 1 species